GGCCUCAUAGUUCAAUGGAUAGAAUAGGACACUCCUAACGUCUAGAUCUAGGUUCGAUUCCUAGUGAGGCCA
rnacentral:tRNA from 1 species